rnacentral:rRNA from 1 species
CCUACGGGCGGCAGCAGGGAGGAAUAUUGGUCAAUGGACGAGAGUCGGAACCAGCCAAGUAGCGUGAAGGAUGACUGCCCUAUGGGUUGUAAACUUCUUUUAUAUGGGAAUAAAAUGUUCCACGUGUGGGAUUUUGUAUGUACCCUAUGAAUAAGGAUCGGCUAACUCCGUGCCAUCAGCCGCGGUAAUACGGAGGAUCCGAGCGUUAUCCGGAUUUAUUGGGUUUAAAGGGAGCGUAGGUGGGUUGUUAAGUCAGUUGUGAAAGUUUACGGCUCAACCGUAAAAUUGCAGUUGAAACUGGCAGUCUUGAGUACAGUAGAGGUGGGCGGAAUGCGUGGUGUAGCGGUGAAAUGCUUAGAUAUCACGAAGAACUCCGAUUGCGAAGGCAGCUCACUGGAGUGCAACUGACACUGAGGCUCGAAAGUGUGGGUAUCAAACAGGAUUAGAUACCCGUGUAGUC